rnacentral:rRNA from 1 species
GGUCGGGUCGUUACAUGCUUGGGCGAGAGUAAUACUAGGAUGGGCGACCCCCUGGGAAGUCCUCGUGUUGCAUCCU